GACGAACGCUGGCGGCGUGCUUAACACAUGCAAGUCGAACGGAAAGGCCCUGCUUUUGUGGGGUGCUCGAGUGGCGAACGGGUGAGUAACACGUGAGUAACCUGCCCUUGACUUUGGGAUAACUUCAGGAAACUGGGGCUAAUACCGGAUAGGAGCUCCUGCUGCAUGGUGGGGGUUGGAAAGUUUCGGCGGUUGGGGAUGGACUCGCGGCUUAUCAGCUUGUUGGUGGGGUAGUGGCUUACCAAGGCUUUGACGGGUAGCCGGCCUGAGAGGGUGACCGGCCACAUUGGGACUGAGAUACGGCCCAGACUCCUACGGGAGGCAGCAGUAGGGAAUAUUGCACAAUGGGCGGAAGCCUGAUGCAGCAACGCCGCGUGCGGGAUGACGGCCUUCGGGUUGUAAACCGCUUUCGCCUGUGACGAAGCGUGAGUGACGGUAAUGGGUAAAGAAGCAACGGCUAACUACGUG
rnacentral:rRNA from 1 species